rnacentral:rRNA from 1 species
GCGAAAGGGAUUAGAUACCCCUGUAGUCUUAGCCGUACACGAUGGAUACUAGGCGUGGUUUGUAUCGACCCAAGCCGUGCCGAAGCUAACGCGUUAAGUAUCCCGCUUGGGGAGUACGCAGGCAAGUGUGAAACUCAAAGGAAUUGACGGGGGACCCGCACAAGCGCUGGAGGAUGUGGUUUUAUUCGAUGCAACGCGAAGAACCUGACCAGGGCUUGACAUCCCGCGAAUCUCAAGGAAAGUGGACGAGUGCAGGCGGGAGCGCAGAGACAGCUGGUGCAUGGCGGUCGUCAGCUCGUGUCGUGAGAUAUUGGGUUAAGUCCCGCAACGAGCGCAACCCUCGUCCAUAGUUGCCUGCUAGUUGAGUUGGGCACUCUAGGGAGACUGUACGUUGACAAACCGGAGGAAGGUGAGGAUGACGUCAAGUUAGCAUGCCCAAUAUGCUCUGGGCAACUACACAGUCUUACAAUGGUUGGUCAAAGGGGAGAGAGCUACCGAGAGUCAGCGAAUCUCAGCAAACAUCGGCCUCAGUUAAGAUGGCAGUCUGCAAAUCGCCUGCAUGAAGGAGGAAUCGAUAGUAAUCGCAGGUCAGCAUACUGCCGGUGAAUUCGUUCCCGGGCCUUGUACACACCGCCUAGUCACACCAUGGAGCUGGCCAAGCCAGAAGUCGUUACCCUAACCGUUGGCGGAGGGGGGCGCCUAAGCAUGGGCUGAUGAGCUGGGCGUAGUCUAANCA